UGGGGAAUAUUGCACAAUGGGCGCAAGCCUGAUGCAGCCAUGCCGCGUGUGUGAAGAAGGCCUUCGGGUUGUAAAGCACUUUCAGCGGGGAGGAAGGCGGUGAGGUUAAUAACCUCACCGAUUGACGUUACCCGCAGAAGAAGCACCGGCUAACUCCGUGCCAGCAGCCGCGGUAAUACGGAGGGUGCAAGCGUUAAUCGGAAUUACUGGGCGUAAAGCGCACGCAGGCGGUCUGUCAAGUCGGAUGUGAAAUCCCCGGGCUCAACCUGGGAACUGCAUUCGAAACUGGCAGGCUGGAGUCUUGUAGAGGGGGGUAGAAUUCCAGGUGUGGCGGUGAAAUGCGUAGAGAUCUGGAGGAAUACCGGUGGCGAAGGCGGCCCCCUGGACAAAGACUGACGCUCAGGUGCGAAAGCGUGGGGAGCAAACAGG
rnacentral:rRNA from 1 species